rnacentral:tRNA from 1 species
GGGGAUAUAACUCAGGUGGUAGAGUACUUGCCUCACAUGCACAAGGCCCUAGGUUCAAUCCCCAGUACCACCC